CCUACGGGUGGCUGCAGUGGGGAAUAUUGGACAAUGGGGGCAACCCUGAUCCAGCCAUGCCGCGUGUGUGAAGAAGGCCCUCGGGUUGUAAAGCACUUUCAGUGAGGAAGAACGCCUGGUGGUUAAUAUCCAUCAGGAAAGACAUCACUCACAGAAGAAGCACCGGCUAACUCCGUGCCAGCAGCCGCGGUAAUACGGAGGGUGCGAGCGUUAAUCGGAAUUACUGGGCGUAAAGCGCGCGUAGGUGGCUUGAUAAGCCGGUUGUGAAAGCCCCGGGCUCAACCUGGGAACGGCAUCCGGAACUGUCAAGCUAGAGUGCAGGAGAGGAAGGUAGAAUUCCCGGUGUAGCGGUGAAAUGCGUAGAGAUCGGGAGGAAUACCAGUGGCGAAGGCGGCCUUCUGGACUGACACUGACACUGAGGUGCGAAAGCGUGGGUAGCAAACAGGAUUAGAUACCCGAGUAGUC
rnacentral:rRNA from 1 species